rnacentral:rRNA from 3 species
UACGAAGGGGGCUAGCGUUGUUCGGAAUCACUGGGCGUAAAGCGCACGUAGGCGGAUGUGCCAGUCAGGGGUGAAAUCCCGGAGCUCAACUUCGGAACUGCCUCUGAUACAGCACGUCUUGAGUCCGGAAGAGGUGGGUGGAAUUCCUAGUGUAGAGGUGAAAUUCGUAGAUAUUAGGAAGAACACCGGUGGCGAAGGCGGCCCACUGGUCCGGUACUGACGCUGAGGUGCGAAAGCGUGGGGAGCAAACAGG